rnacentral:tRNA from 1 species
GGGCCUAUAGCUCAAUUGGCAGAGCACCGGACUCUUAAUCCGUAGGUUCUAGGUUCGAUUCCUAGUGGGCCCACCA